rnacentral:rRNA from 1 species
UACGAAGUGGGCUAGCGUUGCUCGGAAUUACUGGGCGUAAAGCGCACGUAGGCGGCUUUCUAAGUCGGGGGUGAAAUCCUGGAGCUCAACUCCAGAACUGCCUUCGAUACUGGAAAGCUCGAGUCCGGGAGAGGUGAGUGGAACUGCGAGUGUAGAGGUGAAAUUCGUAGAUAUUCGCAAGAACACCAGUGGCGAAGGCGGCUCACUGGCCCGGUACUGACGCUGAGGUGCGAAAGCGUGGGGAGCAAACAGG